rnacentral:rRNA from 1 species
UCGAACGAGAAAGCGGGGGCAACUCCGCGAGUAAAGUGGCGACCGGGUGAGUAACACGUGACUAACCUGCCCUCGAGCGGGGGAUAACCCCGGGAAACCGGGGCUAAUACCGCAUAACAUCUUCGAUAUGAAAGUAUUGAGGAUCAAAGGAGCAAUUCACUUGAGGAGGGGGUCGCGGCCGAUUAGCUAGUUGGCGGGGUAACGGCCCACCAAGGCUGAGAUCGGUAGCCGGCCUGAGAGGGCGCACGGCCACACUGGAACUGAAACACGGUCCAGACUCCUACGGGAGGCAGCAGUGGGGAAUUUUGCGCAAUGGGGGGAACCCUGACGCAGCAACGCCGCGUGGAGGAUGAAGUCCCUUGGGACGUAAACUCCUUUCGACCGGGAAGAUAAUGACGGUACCGGAAGAAGAAGCACCGGCUAACUCUGUGCCAGCAGCCGCGGUAAUACAGAGGGUGCGAGCGUUGUUCGGAAUUAUUGGGCGUAAAGGGCGCG